UUCCACCGGAAUUGGGAUGAAUUGCAUGCAAGAUCUCUAGCUUGCGAAUCCAGGGUGCGCCGCCAUGGCCGAGCACCUCGCGUCGAUCUUCGGCACGGAGAAGGACCGCGUGAACUGCCCGUUCUACUUCAAGAUCGGCGCGUGCCGGCACGGCGACCGCUGCUCCCGCCUGCACAACAAGCCGUCUGUCUCGCCCACGCUGCUGCUCUGCAACAUGUACCAGCGCCCCGACAUGAUCACCCCGGGCGUGGACGCGCAGGGCAACCCCAUCGACCCCGUCAAGAUCCAGGGCGACUUCGAGGACUUCUACGAGGACAUCUUCGACGAGCUCAGCAAGCACGGCGAGGUCGAGAACCUGCACGUCUGCGACAACCUCGCCGACCACCUCAUUGGCAACGUCUACGUGCAGUUCAGGGAGGAGGACCAGGCCGCCAAGGCCCUCCAGGCGCUGCAGGGGAGGUUCUACUCGGGCCGCCCCAUCAUUGCUGAGUUCUCGCCCGUCACCGACUUCAGGGAGGCCACCUGCCGGCAGUUUGAGGAGCACAACUGCAACCGCGGAGGGUACUGCAACUUCAUGCAUGUCAAGGAGAUAGGCAGGGACCUGAGGAAGAGGCUGUAUGGGCACCUGCAUAGGUCCGGGAGGAGCCACAGCAGGAGCAGCCGGAGCCCGAGCCCCUACCGUCACCAUGCCAGGGACCGUGAUCGCUCCUCACGGUCUAGGGACCGCGGCGACUACUAUG
rnacentral:rRNA from 1 species